CUACGGGCUGCUCCAGUGAGGAAUAUUGCACAAUGGGGGAAACCCUGAUGCAGCAACGCCGCGUGGAGGAUGACGCAUUUCGGUGUGUAAACUCCUUUUAUAUGUCAAGAAAAUGACGGUAGCAUAUGAAUAAGCACCGGCUAACUCCGUGCCAGCAGCCGCGGUAAUACGGAGGGUGCAAGCGUUACUCGGAAUCACUGGGCGUAAAGGACGCGUAGGCUGGUUGGUAAGUCAGGUGUGAAAUCCUACAGCUUAACUGUAGAACUGCACUUGAAACUACCAACCUAGAGUAUGGGAGGGGGAGAUGGAAUUAGUGGUGUAGGGGUAAAAUCCGUAGAUAUCACUAGGAAUACCGAAAGCGAAGGCGAUCUCCUGGAACAUAACUGACGCUAAGGCGUGAAAGCGUGGGGAGCAAACAGGAUUAGAUACCCGGGUAGUC
rnacentral:rRNA from 1 species